rnacentral:tRNA from 1 species
GGAAAGAUGGCAGAGUGGUUGAUUGCACCGGUUUUGAAAACCGGCGUGACUGUAAGGUCACCGUGGGUUCGAAUCCCUCUCUUUCCG